UCCAAUGUACCGUUUAAGAUAUGUGGAUGCCCGAAAUUAGCUAUGACGGAUGCUCUUCCCCUAAGGUUUUCAAUUUUAAUUUUUUUUAAAUAUAUUGAAUUGAAGCUGAAAAAAUAAACUAUACACAGUUUAAGCUCUGUUUUGGCGAGGAUGUGGAGCAGGAGGAGAAGCUGGCUAUCCUUUCCAAUGGUCGCAGCGGCAGUUGUGAUUGGUGUACUUUCUGGCAAAAGCAUAUUUGGACCACCACUGGAGGAAUACUGGUCUAAGAAAUUGCAAGAGGAAGCAGCAAAGGAGAGUGCUGCAAGUAUACAUCAGUCACAAAAUUCAGAGAAAGUUGAAAAGGAUUCUUAGUGAUAAAGAGACAGCUAUACAUAUUCCAUUUUUCACAACUUAUCUGAGCCUCCACAAUUUCUCUUCUUUUGAUUUAAAAAGUUCCACAUAGGAUCUCUGAUGGCUUGCAUUUUUCUGAGACUCAAUGGUUGAUUUGGAGUCUGCAUAAAUACAUGAUAACUUAGUUAUUAAAGGCAUAUUUUGUCCUGGCACCAUUUCCAGAAGGAAAACCAGUGGUAGUAGCUAAAGUGGUUCAUAAAAUGUAAUUUCCAAUAAUUUUGUAUCGCUAUCUGAUGUCCAAAGGUAGUUGGCACUGCAAGAUAACUGGAUGUUUCUUUGUAUUCUUUGAUCACUGAUCGCCCAAUUUUUCUAUUUCA